rnacentral:rRNA from 1 species
AUGAUUUUUGGAAAAAAUAAAUGGCAAACUACAAGGCAGCGCAGUCGCAGUUCAAAUUUGACCCGCUUCCAACUGAAUCGGCGGAAAUUUGUCUUUUUCACCAGAGGCGAUUCCAGCAUGGUGGUUGUCGGCUCCGCGGACACCUUCAAGGACAUCCAUGCCAAGGUGCAAGUGGAGAAGCUCCCCGCCGUCUUCUACUACACGGCUGUCUGGUGUGGGUCGUGUCGGGCAAUGGCACCUGUGAUCGAGAAGAUGAGCAGACAGUACCCCAAGAUACCCGUGUACAAGGUGGACAUCGACAUGAAAAUAUAUAUUAAAAAGGUUGAAUUAAUGGGCUCGGCCCAUCUAAAGCACCAAAAUGGCCCGGGCUGA